AUUGAACGCUGGCGGCAGGCCUAACACAUGCAAGUCGAGCGAGCGGAGGACGGGUGAGGAAUGUAUGGGGAUCUGCCCGAUAGAGGGGGUUAACUACUGGGAACGGUGGCUAAUAACGCAUACUAUCGGAUGAACCCAUAUGGGAUUAGCUAGUAGGUGGGGUAAAGGCUCACUUAGGCGCCGAUCUCUAGCUGGUCUGAGAGGAUGAUCAGCCACACUGGGACGGAGACACGGCCCAGACUCCUACGGGAGGCAGCAGUGGGGAAGAUUGCACAAGGGGCGAAAGCCUGAUGCAGCCAUGCCGCGUGUAUGAAGAAGGCCUGAGGGUUGUAAAGUACUUUCAGCGGGGAGGCGUUACCCGCAGAAGAAGCACCGGCUAACUCCGUGCCAGCAGCCGCGGUAAUUC
rnacentral:rRNA from 1 species